AGACCUAUAGUGUAGUGGUAACACACCGGUUUUUGGUACCGUUAUCCGGGGUUCGAAUCCCUGUGGGUCUACAA
rnacentral:tRNA from 3 species